ensembl:lncRNA
GUGAGUGUGUGAACCAUUCAGGGAGUGGCCUGAGGGGGUCCUGAGCCCCCAUCUGCCAGCUUGGCUUGCCCUUCUCUGCCCACUGAAAGCUGGCUCAAAAACCCACCUCCAAGAAGGCUUCAGCAUGCCUCUCUUAUUUGUGGCAGUCCAGCCACCGCUCUCAGUUGGCUCCCGGUUGCCUCUACCUCUUGUCCCUUUCUGUAGACGCUCUUUGAGUCUGCAGGACUCUGUUCUUUCCUGCACUUCCCAGUGGCCAGCAGAGGGCGCCUCCAAAAAGACUGAGGCACCGGGGAGGAAACGGGAGAAUCCGCUUCCCUGGAUCCAGGGACAGUCCGUUUAUGUGAAAUGAAACUGACCCAGGACGCCCUCCUUCCUGGGGCUCUAGACUUAACCUGUCAGCAGAGGACUAGAGGUUAGAUCACAGGCUGAACUCAGGUGACUGCCUUAGAAGUGAACCCAGGAUGAGGGAGCUGCCCCCUCCCAACAGCCGGAAUGGGGAAGGGGCAGUGGAGGUCGCCAGCUUUCCUCCCUUGACCCUGGGAGAUGGGUUGGGAGGGGCUGCACAGAAUAGCUGGUGUCCCACCCUCUAGGAGGGGCUGCUGUGGACAUCUGGGCAACAUCUGGAUUCCUGGCAGGACAGGGAACUUGUCUAUUUGAGAUCCUCCAGGGAUAUACCAUCCACCCCUUGGUGGCCCCUCAGCACUACAUUCCUGGGGAGCUCUUUACAAACAGGUGUGUAGGACCCAGCCCCGUAAUGUGGGUGAAUUCAUGCCAAUCUAGGAGGGUCCUGACAUACGUCCUUCGGAUGUGGCCUAGGGGCCUGGGCAGCAGCCUGCUCUUCUGGGCUAUUCCACCUUUCCGCCCUCCUGCCCUCCUGUCGGAGUGCGCACGGUGAGAUGCUUGCCUUCCCUGUGUGGAAAUGCUGGGAAAUAGGAGGCUCUGGUGUCCAUCCUCUCCAUUCCCCUUCCUCCAGGGAGAGAGAGAUUUGUAGACACAGCGACUCAGAGACACACAGGGAAGAUGGACACAUGAUGAUGGAGGCAGAGAUUGGAGUGAUGCAGCUGUAAGCCAAGGAACACUGGGGAUUGCCGGCAAAUGCCAGGAGCUAGGAGAGAGGCAUGCAACAGACUCCCUCAGAGCCUCCAGAAGGAACCAAACCUGCUGACACGUUGAUUUUGGACUCUGGCCUCCUUAACUACGAGAGAGUAAAUUUCUGUUGGUUUAAGCCACCAAGUCUGUGGUAAUUUGUUAUGGCAGCUCUGGGAAACGAAUACAGUCACACACACACAUGCACACACACACACACGCACACACACAUGCUGCUGGCUCUAGGCUCAGUGACGAGGUUGGUGGAGUUCCUCUUGGGAGCUGCUCUGCCUCUGUCCUCCUUCCCCUGUGGCUGGUCCCAUGAACCCAAAAAAGCUCAUGGCCCAGGGCAGGAGCAUGAUAAUUUUCAAUCCCUCCUUCCCUCCCUGGAGUUGUUAACUAAGCAUCCCCCUCAAAAUCUGCUCUCAGGCAUGGGUUGCCAUGUUUACGUGCACUGAAAGACAUGUCCAAGAAUGCUAUGGCUGCUUUACUGCUAUUAAUUAAAAACUGGAAACAACCCAAAUGUCUAUCAACAGCAGAAUAGAUAAUAAAUUGUGGCAUAGCCACGCAAUGGAAGGCUGCUCAGCCACUAAAAAGGAAGACCUAAUGCUGCAGGAAUAGCAUGGAUGACCCUCACAGACCCCACACUGACCACACUGGGCCCCAUACAAAGAGUGUAUGCUCUAGGAGUCCGUGUGCGUGAGGUUCAAGAACAAAGCCAACCCGUGGUGAUAAAAGUCAGAAUAGUGGUUACUUCUGAGAGAUGGGGUUGACUGGGAGGGGCUUGAGGGAGCCUCCUGGGGUGCGGGAAUACUCUGUGCGUGAUCUGGGUGGUGGUUACAUGGGCAUAUACAUAUGCACAAGUUUGCCAGAUCUCUUAAGAUUUGUUCAAUUUGAUGCACAAACCUUACAAUUCAAUAAAAAGUAAGUUUUAAAAACUGGGUUCCCGGGAAGUCAAUGACCAGAAGCCACCGGAUAGCAUUGUCUGGUGGGGGCAGCUGCAGGGUUUGCCUUGUCCCCGUGCUGCACUGGUGUCCUCAUGCCUGGGACUGCUUGUGUGACAGACUUUUCAGGAUAUUUGUUGACUAUAAACAUGAAGCCUGGGGCUACCUGGGGAGACCAUGGGGUGUCAAUGCAGCCAGACCUUCCAGAGAUGACCUGUCUCUAGGUGGAAAUAGGGAGUGCACACGAUCCUACUGGAAUCUACUUCCCCAAUUAAAAACCAAAUGUGAUGAUUUCUUUCACAAAAAGCUCACAUUGAAGAAGAACAGCCACCUUUUAUUCAGGUUUUGCUAUCUGCCAGGCAUAGACCAAGUACCUUUGAGGGACACGGCCAUGUUACCAUUUCACAGACAAGAAAACUGAUGCUCCAAGAUGUUGAGUAAAUCCCCAAGGUCACACAGGAAGCUCAACAGAGGGGAUUUGAUGUGAUAGUCUGGGGCUCCCUGAGGGCAGGGCUGUGUCCCCCUCCUACUGGGCUCCGGGAUUUCUAGGCUGGAGGGGUUUAGGGGAGGACUUAUCUGAACCCGACUUUCGUGGCACAUGCACUGCUUUCCUGAAGCGGCUGGGAAGGGGCUGCUGACCUGGCUGCUCUGCUCCUUCUCACCCUGGCUCUCACCACUACGCCUAACUCAGGGCUCUGCCCACAGGUGUGCCAUAGUUUGGGACCAUGGACCUAGGGGUGAGGGAGGGAGGUGGGGGAGGGUGAGCAUCAGAAGGACCUGUCCCUUUGGGGGCUGUGCUGGGAUCAGUGCUGGAGGUGCCCACCCCUUCCCUCCCUUCCUGGCUGGCCCAGUGGGAGUCAGGACUACCCAGCCAAGCCAUCCAGAGGCACACUGAGCGGAGAGCUGGACCCUGCCCCUUGCCAGGAGGACCAGCUGGGAGAGGGACUCCAUUUAAGGAUGUAUGGAGGACAGAGCACAGGGCAGCCCCCAGCAUGCCCAGGCCCAGGUGCUCCUCACCCUGCCCACGCCUCACCAGCAGGAGCUGGGUCAUAUGAUGGGGGCGAGGUGGUAGGUGUAAUAGGAGCUGACAUCCUCUUCGGCCUGCCCUGUGACUAUAUUAAGUUCUGUGCUUGGUCUCCCCUCUCCCCCGCCCCCAGGACUUUCCUUCCUUCCCCAGGGAUCCUGCACUGCAGAUUAAGCAGUCAUUCCUCUCCCCUCCCCACUGUCCUAGGAAGGGGGCUGGAGCCUAAUGAGGUCAGAGCCAGGGGGUAGAGGAGCAGAGGCAGUAAAUUGAGGCCUUGGGUGCUAAUGAGCUGCAGAGGGAAGUGCCUGGGCGGGAGGCCGUGCUCCCGAGGCCUUAGCACCCUCACACUUAAUGUCCCCCACCCACCGCCCACACACAUGGCCCAGGGCUCACACAGAACACCCUUGCAGGCAGCUGAGACAUGGUUUACAUUCCUCCAGGCCAACCAUGGGUACCCCUGCACGUGUGCACCCCCCAGAGCCCGUUAUUACCCUCAUAACACUGUUCAGGAGCUCACGUCUGCACACCCAACUGUACAUGCAGGCACUCUCGCUUGCAGCCCUUUGCACUCAUGUGCAGACCGCCCACCCCUGUUACCAUUUCUCUUAAGCCCUCAGAGUCUGUGGCUGAAGCAGGGGGAGCCCUAUGGCUGCAGUGGGGUGGGGAAUGUAGUCUGGGGGCUACAGGCCAUUUGUAACCCCCGCCUAGAUCUAAGGGCUCAGUCUCCAUCUCCCCACCCCCUUGCAGUGAGACUCCCCACCCCAGGUUGAGGGCAGCGGGUAGGGCAGGGUUUAUUAAUAAACUUGCUCCUGACUGGAAAGGGCUGUGCAGAAGCCCCAACUUCAAGCCAAUCAUAGCAGAACUUUCCAGGAAUGUCACCCCAAAGCAAGCCUUUCUCUGACUCCAGGAUUAUUUCCCACCCCUGACUUCAUCCCCUUGGUGUGUGGGGCUCCUGCCAGGUUCCACUGACUCUGCCCAGCAGGCCUGCUGUCACCUGGCAGCUGACAUCUGCCUUGGCCGCCACCCAGAGAAAGUCACAGGCGGUCGGUAGUGGGGCGGGGAUUAGAACUGCUUCCUCCCUCAUCGAGUUCUACUCCUUGCUCCCCCAAACUGAGGACGGCUGAGCCCACUGUGUUGGGAAUGCAGAAUGGCCUCUGCCUCACCACCAACAGCAUUCUCACGCUGCCCUUGUACCCUGCUCCAAGUGGGGAGGAGCCCUGAAGGCAGAGAGCCCGGGCCAGCUUACUGGCCUUGUGACUUUGGGCAAGCAGAAUAUGACUUGUCUGUGGCUCAUUGUCAUCAUUUAUAAAGUGAGGAUGAAAUUGCCCACCCGAAGGUAGCUGUGAGAAUUAGGAAUGUGUGAUGGCUGGUGUGAACUGCAAAGGACUGUGUACAGGAGUGUAAAGUAAAUAAUAUUUAUGUUCUUGCCUCUAUCACUAAUUGCGUUCCCAUCUUUAUCACCGCCACCACCAUCACUAACACCUCCACUGUCACACCACCAUCUCCUUCCCACCAUCGUUUCAUCUCAUCUUCAGCACCAUCGCACUGCUAUCCUCAUCAGUACUUCCAUCACAACCACCACGUUAUCACCUAUCCAUCCUUCCAAGAACACUGAUUCAACUCCUACCAUGUUCAGGGUCACAUGAGUGGCCCUUUGGAGGUGAGUCCUGCCCUGUGUUCCCCACAUUAGGAACAGCCUAUAUCUCUCCCUUCCCUUAAGCCCUGGCACACAACCCCUCUCUGCCAGGAACCCUUCCUUGAUCUACCCGGCAGUACUCCGAUUACUUCUGUACACUGUGGUCAGCUGUGCCUGUCCCCUCCCUGGCUGGGGAGUGUGUGUGUGUGUGAGAGAGCACUCACACUCUCACUAUUUAAACCAGUUGAUAAAGUCAGCCUCCACCCAGAUCUCCUACACACGGCCUAGUGGCUCUGGGUCUCAAUCCUGGCUCUUAUGUUUUCUAGCUGUGUGACCUGGGACAACCCACUUUCCUUCCUUGUGCCUCAGUCUUCCCAACUGUGAAUUGGAUUAAUAAUAGAUUUAAUAAUCGUCUCAUAUUGCUGUAGUGUGGAUUCCCUGAGAUGUUGUAUAUAGAGUACUUAGAACAGAAGUGGGCACACAGUAAGUGCUUGAUAAACAUUUGCUAUUGUUUAUUAUUAUUGUUGGUCCUUCCUACUGCCAAUGCUUCACACAGGGCUUUGCACUGUCAAUGAGAAUGAAUAUAUUAAUGGAUAUGCUCUGACUUUCCAAUGUAAACAUCUUGGAAGGGAAGGAAGAUUUGAGCCUUUCCGAGAAAUGUGUGGACCCCUGCCUGCUCCCAGAAGGUUCCUGAACUCUGGGCAGUGGGUUAGGAAGGACCAUGCAGGGAGGUUGGAGCCAGGCCCGGCAGAGUUGAGCUUGAAUCCUAACUUCACCAGCUGAGCCACUGUGGGCAAGUCAUCACUUAACCACCUCAAGCCUCGGUUUCCUCAUCUGUCAAGUGGAUCACUGUGCAGGUCCCCUGUGAGACUAUCAUCUCUGUCAGUCUUGAAUGCAGGCGCCACAGGUAGCUGUGGGUGGGAGUCAGGGCCAGUGUACCCUUUGGGCCUCAACCUUCUCAUGCAGAUAGUAGAUGUCCCUGCAGAGCCUGCUUCCUAGAGUAGGUGGAGAAGAUGCUGAGUGGUGGAAACUGCUCAGAAAAGUAAAACACUCUGGAAAAGUUCCAGGGACAGCAUUAAUAAUGAUUGACCCAGCUUGGCCUGACCAGAGAAAAUGCACUGAGGUCUGAGCUGGGUUCCUGGAGCAGGGCAGGGGCCACAAGGGAGGAGGGCCAAGGGGCCCCUAACCACAAGCUCAGGAAGGCCACUCUGUGCUCAGACUCUCACGUGCACCAUGACAUGGUCCAUGGGGAGGGCUGAGGCAGCUGGGACAUGGCGGAGGGGUUGACCCAGGAGACCUACAGGCUUUCCAGGAGUCCCCAGUCCAUUGACGUCCACACAGCUGCAGCCCCCCGAGGAUUGCCUCCACCCUCCUCCGACAGUGGCGCCCUGGCCAUGAACCCCCAGCGAAUAAACAGGGGCAGCAGCGGCUGACUGGUGUGUACUCUCAGCCCCCACAAUGUAAACUCCCGGAAUGUAUUUAUGUUGUCUGGGCCUGGCCCCAGUCCCCUGCCCAGCUUGGAGGGGUCACGCCAUGCCAGACGUCACACAUACAGGGCAGCUGGAUUCCUCCAAGUGGUGGUGGUGGGUGGUAGGGAUAGGCAGGGGGAUGAUGGGGGACAGGGACCAAAGACAGCUGGAGCUGGGUGGCCAGAGGGAGAGUUGCAAAGGGGGAAGGGAAAGCAAGUGUUAGCACUGAGUGCUCAGACUGUGCCCUGUUCCUAGAACUGCAGGUCAGAAUCUUCAUAUCCCUGGCUUGGCCAGUGACCUGGGUCACUCUGUGGCCUUCCAGGGCCAGUCUUGGCCCCAGACUCCGGGGUCAGGGAGCUUAGGGCUCUGCCCAACCCACAACUGGCCUGAGAACUGACCCACUAGGCCUCUCUUUGGUUUACCUUUUCACUACCCUCUGCCGGGCACUGCGCCAAGUCUCUUGUGCACAUUAUCUCAUUUAAGCCUGACCAUCUGCCUGGGGCGGGAGUGGCUGCUCUCCUCAUGACCCCGUGGAAGGUCAAGGGGUAAGUAAGCAGGCUGAGGUAUUGGAGCCUGGAGUGCCCGGCCUGGGAUUAGAACCUGGAUCUGUAACCAGAGUAUCUCUACUCUGAAGAGCCAUGCCAAGCAGGCCGCUGUCCUUGAGGGCAAAGUCACACCAGAGUCACCACUAGAACCCAGGGCUCUUGAGUCCUGGGUCAACUUUCUUCCCACACUAUGCAAAACAGGGUGGUGAGGAAACCCAGCCCAGCUCUCAGGGAGCCCCAGUCUGAGGGGAGACACAGCCCUGCUCUCAGGGAGCCCUGGUCUGAGGGGAGACACGGCUCUGUCCUCAGGGAGCCCCAGUCUGAGGGGGAGCCCCAGACCACGGGAAAUUACUAACUGGACGUACCACUGGGGAGGCAAGUGGAGCCAGAGGGCUUCAUACAGCUGGAGUCAGUGUGGAAGACUUCCUGAGGGAUGGUGCUGGCAGCCCCUUUAGCAAGGAGGAGUUGGGCAAGUGGUGGACAGCUUUGGGUGGCCCUGAAGGCUGGAGCUGCAUUCUCACACUGCCCUGAUUAGGAAAUGAGGCUUAUCCUCCACACCACACUCCCGCCCCCCCCCCACCCCCCCCCCUCCCACCGUUGGGCCUGCCAUUCUGAUUCUGCCCAGCCUGCCUGGGAGGGGCAGGAGGAACACAGCCUUGUGACAAGCAUUCAGCUGGGAGCUGUGCACGUCUCAGGAAUGACACCCAGGGAAGGCUAUUUUAAUCUGGGAAGUUGCCUAUUUUAAUCUGGAAAGUUGCCUGCUCCUCCUGCCCACCCCAAAAUAACCAGGCUCCCAAAGGAAGCUGCAACAUUGUGGGCUGCCACUGGCCUAAUGCAGCCCUCCAGGCCCUGCACCCCCAAUGUGGCCAGCCUCCCUCCUCAGACUGGCCCUCCCCUCUCAGACCAGAGCCCUCCCGUACGGGGGCUGUGUCUCCUCCCUCAGACUGGGGCCUUCGUCAGGGCAGAGGCUGUGUCUCUCAUCAGACCAGGAGCUCCUGGGGUGCAAAGGUUGUAUCUCUCCACCAGCAGCUCCUCAGAACAUUCAGGUCUCUGGAGCCCGCUGCCCUGCAGAAUUUAGGGAUGGGUAGGGGUUCAGGUGGCCUUUUCCUCCUUCUGGGCUGACUUCCAUCUGGAGGAUGCCCUUGUGAUGGAGAAACCGAAUCUCCCUCUCCAUGGCCACAAGGACAGUCAGGGCUGGGGGCUGAGCCCCUUGACACCCUCCACAGCGCAGCAGCCGGGGAGGAGCGGGAGCCCCAUGCCGAGGACAAGGGCAGUAGGGCACGCGGCUGGUAACAGGAGAAGGCCAACGCUUUCCUAUUUUGGGAGGCAGGAGGCAGCAGGUGGCUGGCUGGUGCUUGGACAUGUGAACCCUCCAGUUGGGGGCCAUGUGGCCAGGAGCAGGGGAGCCUGGCACUGCCAAGCAUGGCUGAGGCCCCUCGUGAGCCCUGACUGUCCUCAGAGCUGGAUGACUGGAAGUUGCCAAAGGGCAGUUGCUCUGUACCUGGGCUGGGUACCAAAUGGGGAGGGGGCCCACUAACUUCAGUGUUCCUUGUAGGGAACCAGUGCCCACCGGUCCUGUUAAGAGGAGCCCUACUACCUCAACCCUUCUCUCCCCCCGAGCAUCCAACACAACUCCUGGCAUGGAAGAGGGGCUGGGGGCAGGGGGGUGGCUGCUGACCCAGGUAAUGUCAUUAACUACUGCUUAUUGAGGGCUGAGAAACUGAGGGUCAGAUUUUGAGAAGACCUCCCCUCUCCAAGCCUCCAGUCUAUUCAUCUCACAACCAUUUUUAACUGAGCACAUGCUGUGUCCGAGGGCUGUGCUAGGGCUCCCCAUUAGUCACUAAGCUUAAUCCUUACAGCACCCUACUGAGAGGACUAUAGUUGUACCAUUCAGCUCUGGAGGGAAUGAGGCCCUGAGAGGUUGUACGACUUGCCUAAGAUAACACAGCGAGGAAGUGGUAGUGUUGGCCUUCAAACCCAGGUUAGUACAACUUUUGUUUUCUUACUCUUUUUCCUUUUUUUUUUUGACAUUUUAUUAUGAAAAACUUUAAACGUUCAUAUAAGCAGAGAGAACAGUACAAUGAACCUGCAAACAUCCGUUACCAAGAUAGAAUAACGAACAUUUUGCCAGAUUUGCUUCAUCUUUUUUUGUGCCGAAAUAUUUUAAAGUAAAUUAUGCACACUAAGACAUGUCACCCCUAAUCACUUCAGAAUGCAUCUCUAAAAAUCCCCAAUUUUCUGUAUAAAGCAGCAUGCCAUUCUCACACCAGAUAAAACUAAUAAUCUCCUACUGUUAUCUAAUACUCAGAUUGUGUUCAACUCCCCCAAAUUGAACACGAUCUUCCCCGGAUUCUUGUCACUCCCCCACACGGCUGCUGAGGGUGGGUGCACGGGGUUUGGGAGAUCUUUGCCAGCCUCUGUCCCUUAGUUCCCUUGAGGAGACAGUCCUUUCCUUCUCUUUUCCUCCUUGCUUGGGGCAAGGUUUCUAGAAAGGAGAGCAGCAGGGGCCCGAGGGAUUUGGGCAGGUGGUGGAAGCUGUGGGGAGGCUCAGGCAGCCCCUUGUCUCCUGGGGUGGGGACUGCGGAGUCAGGUGGGUGUCCUGAAGAGCCUGAAGGGAGCCAUGGCCUGGCAGUAGGAGACCUCAGAGGGCCUCUGAUGCACUGCCCUCCUGCCAGUCCCAAUCCAAUGGGACCUUGGACCUGGAAGCCCCUACCCCACAGGGUCUCCUGUCCACCCUGGGCCCACAGACCAAACAGCACACUGGUCUGCCCCAGCCAAAACAGGAGCCGGAGGAAGGUCAGCUUAUCGGGUCUCCCCUACUCCCUCACCCCGUGGGCCCGCCUUUCACUGCUAUCAGUGUCUGGCGUGAGCAAAGGGGUUGAUGGGACAAAGCAAGGCCACUCCCUGUGUCCGCGCCUGCAUGGAGAGGUUGCUUUUUAGCAGGAUUCUGGGAGACCCUGGGGCCCAGAGCCCAGAUGAUGAUGAAAGAGUCUCUGCCAGUGACCCUUUAGGACAGGGGUCUCUAAGUUCCCUUCCUGCUCUAGGUCCUAGCCUUAGUUCUCGGGGUGGGUGGGAAGGACUCUGACCUAAGGCAGGAGAUGGUGAUCUCUCAGUCUUCACUCCCUGGAUUGGGAUUGAGGGGUUCUAGGCCAAAUGAGACCAAACCUGAAGGGACAGGGUCUGGGUCUCCCUGCUCAGACUGGGGGCUGCCGAGGACGGGGGCUGCGUCUCCCUCGUUGAAUAGGAUAUUCCACAAGUCAGGGCUUUGUCUUCUUCCAACAGACUGGAAGCUCCCUGAGGGCAGGGCUGUAUCUCCCCUCCCCCGUUAUUCUGGGGCUCCCUGAGGCUUGGUCAACACUGACCUUCCCUCACCAUUGUUACCUCUAGGGACCCCAGGCUGCCUACAUAUGCUGAGUGUGGCUACUGUGAUAGCAGAGCCCCCUCAGGGGACCCCCUAGCUCCUCAUUGCUCGGGAACCUGGGGCAGGGCUGAGAAGAGAAAUGAGUUGGCUUCACUUUGCUGGUGGGGAGCAGGAGUGGGAUGAUCCAGUUGGAGCCCACUGCCUGGUGGGUUGUGGAAUCCUCUAACGGUUUGGGGCGUGACUGCCCGGUGUGGAGGCAGGGGAGGGAAGAGAGGGCCUCCUCCAGGGGUCCUCCCUUCUUCUCUAGAACCCCUCAUGAACUCCUCUUGUGAGAAAUUCCCAGGCUACCAGGGGCCAGGGGGAUGGGGGCCUCAGGAUCCAGGAGGUGAGUCCUGAAGGGCCCUCCAUGGGUUUGAAGCUCCUUCCCCUGUCCCCCCGACCCCACCUAGCCAGGACUUGCUGGGCAGGAGCAGGAGGAGAGAGGGUUCAGCCUUGGGUGGGGUCGAGGGGACAGGAGAGGACAAGCUCUAGGAAAACACAGCCCAAGACUGCCAGAUAAGGUCGGGGGAGGAAGAAUGGGGUGGGUAGGCUGGGGGAGGGGCCUUCAGCAGACCCCCAGGGCCAAAGCUGAGGCCACAGGGCCACUGCCUUCAACCUGACCCCAGGGACUGGUCCCACCAGGGUCUCCUUUGAGGAGGCCGCCUGAUUGUGGAGGUCACUGCUCCCUUCUCCCCCAGGCCCCUGUUUCAGUGCAUCCACCCAGCACUCAGCAUCCCACAGUGCCCAGGCGUGUCUCCCAGGCACCUGGACACCAUGUAGAGGUCCUCUUGGUCUCUCCCAAAGCACCAGCCACUGGGCCUCGCAUACAGCAGGCACUUAUUAAAGUCGGCUGGCUGAUGGCUCCCAACUGAACCCUCUGAUUGCGGCUCUGGUUUGUCUUGUGUCAAGUGCUCAGAGAAAUAACCCUUUAUCAGCCCUUCCUUCCUCAGGAGGGCCCCACCCUUGAUGCGUGGUCCCUUGCGUGGUCACUCAGUGGUGCAGGAAUACAGCUGGAGAGGCUGAUGUUUAGAACUCCAACCCGGGGGGCUGAGAGGGGAAAGGUGCCCCAGUCUGAGGGGAGACACAGCCCCGCCCUCGGGGAGCCCCGGUCUGAGGGGGGACGCGGCCAGUCCUCGGGGAGCCCCGGUCUGGGGGGAGACAGCCCCGUCCUCGGGGAGCUCCGGUCUGAGGGAGAUGCGGCCAGUCCUCGGGGAGCCCCGGUCUGAGGGGAGACAGCCCCGUCCUCGGGGAGCUCCGGUCUGAGGGGGGACGCGGCCAGUCCUCGGGGAGCCCCGGUCUGGGGGGAGACAGCCCCGCCCUCGGGGAGCCCCAGUCUGAGGGAGAUGCGGCCAGUCCUCGGGGAGCCCCGGUCUGAGGGGGUCACGGCCCCGCCCUCGGGGAGCCUCGGUCUGGGGGGAGACGCGGCCCCGCCCUCGGGGACCCCCAGUCUGAGGGAGCCGCGGCCAGUCCUUGGGGAGCUCCGGUCUGAGGCGGGAGGCAGAACCUUUACCUCAGGGAGCUCAUGGUCAGUAAGGAGAGACCUAUCCCUUCUGCUUUCUCUCACUAUCAAAGCAGCCUUGAGAGUAGGGGGAGGAGGAGGGCCAAUGUCUGGGGGCUCCCACAUUGACUCUCUCCAAGUUCCUGACAGAUUUCUUCCCUCAGCCAGGGCCAGGGUGAAGUGACCCUUGCAGACUUAUUUUCACCACGUAGAGCUGCCUGGGACCUCUUUAGCCCUUGGAGAUAUUUUGUGGAAGAGCCAAGCCCCAUGCCUGGCACAAACAGGCGCUUGUCACUGGCAGCCAUUUGACUCUUCAGUCUUUCUCCAUCCAGUGUAUCAGGUGAAUCUCACCCAGCCCUACGUCGUAAUGCAUUCCCGUUUUACUGAUGAGGAAACUGAGCCUCAGAAACUUGAGAGAAUGCCUGAAGCCCCACAGCUAGGAAGUGACAGAGGUCUAGUUCUGCUUGGCUUCAAAUUGUGUGUUCUUUUCAGGACCAAGCUUGGUAGGCAGUUGCCCCUCUGUUCACAUAGGAGCAGAACUCCAUCCAGCCCCCCACUCCUCAGCUUAUAUGGUCUCACCGGGGAGUGUGAAGAUUAGCUGUGAGGUUUCUACAGUUCUAAGUCUUGGGACCUCUGGAGAAAUGCCCUGUGGAUACCUGGGGAGACCUCAAGGAGGGGUGUGGGACAGGGCAGGGGAGGAAGGAGAGAGGGAACUCUACUAGCCAGCAUUGUGUAAUGGGUGGGGGCUGCCUGGAGGAACAAAAGACACUCUCAGCAAACAGUAACAGGCUCUGUGACCAAGCAGGCUCUGCAAACACUGACAGGCUUUGCAAACCACAGCAGGUUCUGCAAAUGCUGGCAGGUUCUGCAAACACUGACAGAUUCUGUGUUGACAGGCCCACAAUAGCAACGAGAGUGAGAAGCAUUAUGGAGAGGAAAACCUUGUGGUCCAGAGAUGCUAAGGGAAGUUUCCACUUACCCUGCCUUUGUACCUUUGUGAGGGAGUCCUGGAGGAGGACGUCCAGCCCUUCUCCCCUCCUCGACAGCCUUCUCCAGUGCCACUGCCUGGUGCCCUCCCCCUUAGCAGGCUGCAGAGGUGCCAGGGCAGGAGGACUAUGAUUGGGAGAGUCCAUGAGGGACACUCUGGAGUGGUGGGGAGCAGGCAUGGGGGCCAGGGAGGUUCCCCCCGGUGGGAGCCUGGCCAGCUGGUCCCACGUCACCGUGGGGCAGGCUGGAGCCCGUCUGCCCUGGCCCAUGGCCCCUCUGAGCUCCAGAAAGUCUCAGCUCUUUGUGCUCAGCCUUGGAGGCAGGGGAGGGAGUGGCAGGAGCAGCAAACGUUUCCAAAUGGAAAAUGAUGAAAUCUUUCUGGAAAGCUGACUUUCCCAGGCUCUGGUGGGUACAGCUGACAGGGGAAACCUGAGCCCUGUGGGCAGGCAGGGGGUCCGACGGCAGGGGAUCUGAGGCGCCUCUCUAUGACAGAGUCCUGGGCAGCCACUCCAGAGCCGAGGAGGGCCUGUUGCCCGUUGGCGCCUGGUGGCGGUGGGGGAGUGGGCAGGGGAGUUACCCUUCAGCCCAGGGCCCCCUACAGUCUAUGCCCAACCCAGCAACCAGAGUGAUGCUGUGACAACAGUUAGUUCCCGUCUCUCCUUUGCUCUGUAUCAUUCAGAGUCAAGGCCAAAGUCCUUACUGCGGCCCACAUGGCCUCAUGUGAUCCCACCCUACCACCACUCUGCCCCUCCCUCUCUCUGUUCUGGCUUCCUUAUUCCUCAGAUGAGCUGGGCACACUCCUGCCUCAGGGCCUUUGCACUGUCUGUUCCUUCUACCUGGAUGCUUUUCCCCCAGAUAUCUCCAUGGCUCGCCCUCUCACCUUCCUUGAGGUCUUUGAACAUCACCUUCUCAGUGAGGCUUUUCCUGACCACCCUAUUGAAUCCUGCAACCUGCCCUCCUCACUCCAGCCCCAGCACCCUCCCUUCUGUAGUACCACCCUUUAUUUUUCUCCAAAUAAUCUACAAAUUAUUUCUUCUAAUAUAUUGACAGUGGUUUGAAGAGUGGCCUCCCAAAAGACUCAUCUGUGUCCAAACUCCUGGAACCUGUGAAUAUGACUAUGGGUUGAAUAGUGUCCCCCCAAAACAUUCAGGUUCACCUGGAACCUCAGAAUGUGCCCUUAUUUGGAAAUAGGGUCUUUGCAGAUGUGCUUCAGUUAAGGCUCUCAAGAUGAGAUCAUCCUGGAUUGAGGGUGGACUCUAAAUAGUGUCCUUAUAAGAAGAGGAGAGGGCAUACACAGAGACACCGGGGAGAAAGCCACGUGAAGACAGAGGCAGAAACUGGAGGGAUGCGGCCACGAGCUCAGCAACUCCGAGGAUUGCCAGGAGCCACCAGAAGCUGGAAGAGGCACUACUCUCCCCUCCCAGAGCCCUUGGAGGGAGCACGGCCCCGCCAACACCUUGAUGUCAGACUUUUAACCUCCAGAACUGUGAGGGAAUAAACUUCUGUUGUUUGAAGCCACCAAGUUUGCGGCAAUUUGUUGUGGUAGCCAUAGGAAACGAAUGCAAGACUCUAUAAUUUACCCAUUUAUUGUAUCUAUUAUCUGUAAACACACUCCUCUCCUCAAAUCUGAGCUCCAACAAGACAGGGAUUUUUGUUUCCU